GAUGAACGCUGGCGGCGUGCCUAAUACAUGCAAGUCGAGCGAACAGACGAGGAGCUUGCUCCUCUGACGUUAGCGGCGGACGGGUGAGUAACACGUGGAUAACCUACCUAUAAGACUGGGAUAACUUCGGGAAACCGGAGCUAAUACCGGAUAAUAUAUUGAACCGCAUGGUUCAAUAGUGAAAGACGGUUUUGCUGUCACUUAUAGAUGGAUCCGCGCCGCAUUAGCUAGUUGGUAAGGUAACGGCUUACCAAGGCAACGAUGCGUAGCCGACCUGAGAGGGUGGUCGGCCACACUGGAACUGAGACACGGUCCAGACUCUUACGGGAGGCAGCAGUAGGGAAUCUUCCGCAAUGGGCGAAAGCCUGACGGAGCAACGCCGCGUGAGUGAUGAAGGUCUUCGGAUCGUAAAACUCUGUUAUUAGGGAAGAGCAAAUGUGUAAGUAACUAUGCACGUCUUGACGGUACCUAAUCAGAAAGCCACGGCUAACUACGUG
rnacentral:rRNA from 1 species